CGUGGAAGCUUGCUAUCCAUGUGCCAGAGCCAUGAGUUGGUUGCGAGAUCUUAUGGGUUUCACCUCUAGCCUACCCCAACUUGUUUGGGACUAAAGGCUUUGUUAAAUAUCAAUUUUCUCUAUCCAUGUUGCCAGACCUGAAGGAUUUGAGUUGUUGUUGUUGUGUUAAAUAUCAAUUUUGACGGGCCACUUAUGAUGUAUGUUCAACAAUUCAGUAUUAUAUUUUCUCUGAAACAAUUCGUUUCCUAUUAGUUUUCCUCUUGCGUUGUUCAUUUUGUUCAGGCAUCAAAUUUGUUGGUAUGCUCCGCCUAGUCAUUCUUAGUUCUAGUCAAUCUAGAUUAUCAUUGGUUACAGUCUGUUUUAGUCAGAAUUAGCUUUUUUUACUUAGUUCUAGCCAUACUAGAUACUAGAUGUGCUCUGCUUAUUUCCUAUCUAGUUCUAGUUCAGACCAGAUGAAAAAAGGGAAUGAACAAUGUUUCCAGAUCUCCUAUGCUUAGUCAUACAUAGUUCUGGUCAGACUAUAUCAUCUUAAGUUUUGCAGUUUGUACUAGUUAGACUAGUAGUACAUUAGAAGCUAUCUUCAGUCUGCCUGACAGAUAUCCAAACUUAGGUGGAAUUCUAGUCUUGUUCAGUAUCUAUAUUUAAUAUAUAUUUUUGGUUUCUAUCUAGGAUUGUCCAGAUUUGAAUCACAAUUCAAAACCAUAACAGAUAAUAACUUGUCAGUAUUGGUGUUAUCUGAUAAACUGUUCGAAUGGAGAGGCGCUGGGAUCAAGGGGGCGCUCCUGCUGUCUCCGGUCAGCAUGAUGGCCCCCCUAUGGUCGAGUUGCCUUCUCCGUUAUCGGCGGCCGGAGCUGCGCUGCGUGAGAUGGAAGCCCCGUAAUUUUCCUUCCCCUUUCUUUUUCCCAGUAGUUCCUGCUGACCCGGGUGGUCUUUCUAUGUAUGCUGAACCAUGUAACUGUACUUUUCGCUCCUACCUUAAUAUAAAUGAAAGCAGCGCUGUUGCUCUUUGUAAAGAAAAAAGUUCAGAUAGUCGACUCAGCAGUUAAUGUUCAGAGAGCAUGCAUCAUUGUUCUGUUCAUUCUUUCAGAUGAUAUUAUCUUAUUUGGUAUCUUUUCAAUUUCUUUCUUUACUCUUUCUGGUCCAAGCGUGAGUUACGUAACACUAGACAGUCCUGCAUUAUUUAGCCAGUCUAUUUAAUGCAUUGUAUUUUUCUUUCUCAGUCCCAGUAUGUCAGUUUAAUUCAUCUAUCAUUUGGUUUAUCAGUAAAAUUUCUUUAGUCAUCAGUAUUUUUGUUGCUUUAUUAUUUUCUGGAUUUCAUUGUCUCAUUGUUACUUAAGUACUUGAGUCUUCAGACUCAUUCUUUGAAAUUCAGUUUAUUGAUCUUCAGUGCACAUGUUUAUUCAUUAUUUCAGUAAGGCCCUUCUCACUGGUCAGAUUUUCAUUUUUCAAGCUCCUACUUAUCAGUCAUUCCUGAGUCUAUCAGGUUUCUUCAUUUUUUAUUUCUUUCCUUCAGUAUAUAUGUCCUCAGUUUUCUUCAGUUUCGGAUUUCUGUAUUUGGUCCUUAAAUUUUAAAAUCACUCAUUCUCCAGUCUUUCAGUCUUACCUUCUCAGUCAUCUUCAAUAUUCAUUGAACAUCAAGGCUAUGCGAUCAGGUCAGGUUUGGGCAAAGGUUUUUCCAGUGUUCGUUUUUUGCGUUCUGUCGCUAUCUAGGAUUAUUCAGAUUUUCCCUUUUUUUAGAUAACAUCGCCACAACUUUGUCAUUAUUAUUGUUCCUCACAUGAGGAUUUGGUUUUUCAGUUUCGUCAAUAGUUUCAGUGUUAGGUGUCAUUUUCAUCAGUUUCCUCAGUAGUUUCAGUGUUCGGUGUCAUUUUCUUCAGUUUCGUCAAAAGUUUCAGUGCUAGGUGUCAUUUUCUUCAGUUGUGUGAGUUACCACAUAGGUAGGUUAGUUAGCUAGUUUAGCAUGUUUUCAGACAGUUUUCAGUCUAUCUACAUCUCUCAUUUCAGUACUUUAGUCUUCAUUUUAUUUCUUCACAAUAAUUUCUUUUUCAGCCCUUCUUUUGCCAGUUUUUAUUUCUUCCUUUCCAGAUCGGAUCAGAUACACGCUAGAAAUGGAUUAAAUGGGGGUGUCGGUGUCGUCGAAUCCUACCACGAUCAGAUACAUGCUUGAAAGUCAGAGAUACAACUCUUACAGCAAAAUCAUUUUUGUGGGUCUGCGCCAAUAACCCGCUGAAAUCCGUGUCGGUUCUAGUGACUGUAGCAGCAAGAAGGAGCUGCCUGUUUGCGGGGUGGGGUCUCAAGACUGAGCUUUUUGGGCUUGAAGGUUAGGUCAAUUUUUGGGCAUUCAGUUCAGUUCAAUUAUGGGAGAUCAUCGUGCCCCUCAGCGUGGAUUGAUUAACACUUCAAAGGAAGAACCAGGAGGAUCUAUUCAUCUGCAUAUCUGUUGAAGGCUCUGAAGUGCAACUAACAAAUUAUUGCAAAGCCAUCAGUUGGUGCAUGAUGUCAUCCACUAUUUGCAGAUUAUAUGUCAACUAUUUACUGCCGCCCCGCAGACGUUUUAAUUUAUUUGAUCCAAGUUCUGAACUGACUUCCUGUCAGCUUGCCACUCGAGAUUGUCAGCCCUUCCAAAUAGCAGCAUGGGGUUCAAGCACAGCACUUUGUACAUCAAUCAAGCUCAAACCACAUUUAUGAUGUGAAAGUGCCGCAGAAGACUGAAAUGUACAAGAUGUGUGCUCUGCUAUCCAACUGACAUACAGAGGUCAGUCUCGACCAGUCCAGAUCCUUGACAACUAAGCAUUUAUACCAACUUUUCCAACUUUGCUUUCAGUUCUGUACCCAUUUGCCCUCUAUUUCCCCUUCAGUCCCUUCUGUCUUUACUUCUUUGGGGGAAAGCACUAGAAUUAGCUUCACUUUUACGUGCCAAAGACGUAUAUAUAUACCCUGGUAUCUAAUUGGUUUCUUCUAAAACAUCAUGCCGUGUCUUGUUGUCUCGAGUUGAGCUAACUGUGCUUCCUGAAUGGUACACAGCAAGGAGGGGCGUGAUAUGCUUUUUACGCUGCGUAUUUGAUCGAUCUGGAGAUAAUCUCAAUGAAUGCUGCCUGCAUUAGCUUGAUUUUCUUGGCCUACAGGUUGGUGGCACUGCAAAAGCAGAGUUAGGCAGGUCUGAUUACUAAAGUGUGCUAAUUUGUGGUUAAGGGUGUCGCGUUAGGCACGUCGGUCUGGGUCUGGUGCGGUCGAGAUUAAUUGCCAUUGCUAUCAAGCCUUUCCAAUUAGGUGGGUUGGGUUGAUCCAGGGCCGUGUUUGGUUCAGGCAAAUCCAUCAUUGGAGGCUAUUAAUUGGCAUUAGAUUCUUCUGAUGGGCAGGCCUUGAUCUGUGGGAAGGCGAAGGAGGCCAGCUCUGUAAUGCUUGCUCCAAGGUCGGUCAGUCAAGGUCUUGAAGAGUCUGACGUCGAAUGCACCGUGCCACGGCUAAAAUGGCGUCAUUGCGGUGCUCGGAAAUCUUUGUUCGAUUCAGGUCUCCUGCAAAUGUCAUCGGUGUUUGGUUCCAGAAGACCGAAGUUGCCGGCGACGAAUCCGUCGGGUCUGUUGCAUCUUACACCGGACUAUAUCACCGGUUUUUCUUGAACCUCUUGGUUGAUAACCGUCAAGAUCAAGCCGUGAGGUGCUUCACGGACACGAGUAUAUGCCAUAGACCCCCUCAACAGAAAAGAGAGUAUAUUCCAAAGUCUUCCUCGGAAGUCUUGAUGCUGUCUGGUCCAAAGAUCAACUGUCUCGUCUCAGUCGGCUCGUCCUUGCGUAGGUGCUGCAUCAACAAAGCCUGACCAGUAGCCCCCUGGCUUCUGAUGCAUUCACGAAAGCAGUCGGUGCAACAGCUUUACUGUAACUGGCAAAAGCACGGAAGCUUGUGCUGUAACUUCCUACCAUGAUUAUCUGUAGAAAACAGAUCCAGGAAAAGGCAGAUGAAGGCUGUCAUUGAAGCUCCCAUGCGUUUUGUGAUUUUGGAGAUAAUUCAUGUUCUUUGUAGACCUGGCCAUUAUGUUCAGCUACGUAUAAAGGAACUGUGCUCAUUACUAUGAGGAA